CGCGUAGGCGGCCUGUUAAGUCGAACGUGAAAUCCCUGGGCUCAACCCAGGAACUGCGUCCGAGACUGGCAGGCUUGAAUCCGGGAGAGGGAUGUGGAAUUCCAGGUGUAGCGGUGAAAUGCGUAGAUAUCUGGAGGAACACCGGUGGCGAAGGCGGCAUCCUGGACCGGUAUUGACGCUGAGGCGCGAAAGCCAGGGAGCAAAC
rnacentral:rRNA from 1 species